ACGCGUGGAACCUUACCAGGUAUUGACAUCCCAUUGACCGCUAUGGAGACAUAGCUUUCCCUUCGGGGACAGUGGUGACAGGUGGUGCAUGGUUGUCGUCAGCUCGUGUCGUGAGAUGUUGGGUUAAGUCCCGCAACGAGCGCAACCCUUGUUCUUAGUUGCCAUCAUUUAGUUGGGCACUCUAAGGAGACUGCCGGUGACAAACCGGAGGAAGGUGGGGAUGACGUCAAAUCAUCAUGCCCCUUAUGACCUGGGCUACACACGUGCUACAAUGGAUGGUACAAAGGGCAGCAAAGCGGUGACGCCUAGCAAAUCCCAUAAAACCAUUCUCAGUUCGGAUUGUAGGCUGCAACUCGCCUACAUGAAGCUGGAAUCGCUAGUAAUCGCGGAUCAGCAUGCCGCGGUGAAUACGUUCCCGGGCCUUGCACUCACCGCCCGU
rnacentral:rRNA from 1 species